rnacentral:misc_RNA from 1 species
UUGAUUCGUUUGUGGUUCACCCAGAGAUGCAGAGAAUAAACAGAGCUUUGGAGUCCCUCGGCGGGCGCCUGGGUCCGGCCGCCGCCGCCCGCUGGGGGGCGGCGCCGCCGGGGCGGUCCGCCGAAGCAACGUCGAGGUAUGUUCACGGGGGUUUGGGAGUUGUAAACUCGGUAAUGAUCCCUCCGCUGGUUCACCAACGGAGA